CUGAGAGCACAACUGUUCUUACAAUGCUCCUCAUCUCCUGAAGUCUUGAUGUCUGUGAGUUAAUGCCCUGCCUUGUGAAAGGACUGCGUGCUGAGGCUUAAGAGAAGGGCUUCUCUACAUGCAGUGUCAUCUACUGGUGGUAGCCCAGGUCUUGGACUGUAUGACAGUGGAUUGAAUGGCAGACAGGCAAAAAACAUGGAGUGCGAAAGGGAACCCAUUUCCUCACCCCAAGGGAGAAUGUAAUUCCUUUCUCAUUCCAGCCUCCUGCUGCCAAUGUGGUGCUUGGGUUCCUGAAACAAAACAAUGCGACAGUUCUGUGCUACAUCUGCUAACAUCAUUCCCUGUGGCCUCCAUAAUGGGAGAGAAAAUGAAGUUAAGAGCCUUCAAACAGCUCAUUGCAGGACAGCUGAGCAAACAUUCUUUCCUGGACAUAGUUUAUGAAAGAGGACAAGGCAACUUGUAGACUGGUUUUCAAGCAAGACUUAUUUCUCUGCUGGGAAUCCAGUAGGGAAGAAAAAAACCUGAUGGUUUUCACUGACAGUUUAUCCAACUCUUUUCAAGUGCAUGACAAACAACUGUGCCCUCUUCAUGAGCAGUAUGUUUUUGCUGUAUGAAGUUCAGUGGACAUUUGAAAGGAUGUAACUUAUAUAUUCUCCAAAUUAUUUUAGAGCUAUGAUGAGUGAGGUGUGUGAUGAUAGACAGGACUUAUUACAGUGGACGAUUUCUUAUAAUGAGAGAAAAUGCUAUAUGAGCCUGCAAAAAAGUUAGACAAUUCUCUCUCAGUUUGCUACUUAAAAGUUUUGUUUCCUAGAGUGAAGCCAUUGAUAUUGGAGAUCAGUGUAAAUAUGAGCCAUGAGGAACAAUAGCCAUGGUGACUCACACUUAUCCAAAAAUGCUACAUCAUCAUGUCCAAGUCCAAGAUUUGAAUAAGAACAAUCAAACAACAAAAUUUUUUGUAGCAGAAAAGGCUUCAGUUUGUGAUAAAUAAGAUAUAGGUUUAAUAGCAAUGUCUGAACUGCUGGAAACCUGCAGUAGAUCUUUGGAGAGUAUAAAGUAGGUUGUUCCUCAUGGUUCUCUGCCACUGCUGUAAACCAUCUGAGGUAGUGCUAUUUUAACUUUUCCAUUGCUUGACAUUUUCUUAUUUUAAUUGUGUAAUCUCUGUGUUGGACUGAAUUCCGGCAUUAAGAGCUUCACCACCCCCUCUUUUGAUUGCUUCUUUUUAAAGCAAGAAGAAUAAAAUUAAUUGCUUCUGAUCCACCACAAUGCUAAUUUCAUAGUCCCAAGUGGGACCUCACCAAGGAUGAACUGCUGCUUUUGCUUUCUGGCUGGAGACACUAGACAGGGAUAAUAGAGAAGUACAUUCUGUUUCAGUGGACUGGUUGUUUCCUGCAGCAGAGAAUGAUAGAAGUCUAUUUGCUGUACAAUUACACUGUGGCAUUUUCAGGUUGCAAUAGCAUCCCGCAAAGGCUGAGAAGAAAGAAAUAAUUUCCGUGCUUGUAUGUCUCACUUUGCUAAGUGUGUCUGUGAAAACAGUUGGCCUGCUGCCUCUUUGCUCCUUGAAUCUUCGUUAGAACAUCACACUGAUGUAACAAACUUAGCAAAAUCAUUAAAAACAGCUUGUACACUGCAUGGCCUUAGAAGAGAAAAAGAAGCAGUGAUAGAAAACAGGGCUAGGAAUAGUUAGGAAAUGCUAGCAUUGCAAAGGAGCCACAAUUACUGCAUUUAGAUGUAGCUGUCUAUUUGUUAUUUCUUUAAGAAUCAUAAACAAGAAAGCAACUAAAAGUAUGAAUGUUUUUCUAUAUUAAAAAUAAAUACAUUCUACCUUCAAUUAUUUCUACAGAGAAGACUAGAAAAGAAACUUUGACAGUAAGUAAAAGUGUUUUGCCCUUCAAUAUGUCAGAAAAAAAUAGGAGGAAUUAUUCUUUAAAAAACUCCUAACACUGUAUUUUAAACAGAAUAAAGGAUGUAUAUAAGAAGUAUUGUUUAAUGAACAUUUAAUGCAUCACAUUGAGUUAGGGGCCUAAAAUCAUGCUGCUGACUUAGAAAUGUUUAAGCUACUAAAUUUUAUUUAUCUUUCUGAUUUUUGUACCUUCAUGACCCAAUUUUUGUAUCAAGCAGUGUAUUGAGCAAAUCAGGAAAAAUAUUUUUUUCUUCUGAAGCUGAUUUUUCUGAUAUGAUCUAUUGACAUAAACAAUCCAAACCUGUGAAACUUGCCAGUAAAUUAAAAGGUUGAACAACAAGAUUAUAAGAAACCUUGUCUUGACUACAACUAAAAUUGGAAUAGUUUUCUCAUUCAACUAUGUGAGUUUUUCAAAUAAGUUUUAAAGAAUGUAAAGAUGUACUAGAUGCAAAUGAUGGUGUGAAAUUUCUUCUUGGCAUAUAGUCUCCAGACAAAGAACAAGACACAGAAAUCUAAUUGCUUCUUAUAGCUGAACCAAGGCUUUACAUGCCAUAAAUGUCUGUGCUUUAAAAUACACACCUUUUGAAGA